GGGCUCACACAAGCGGUGGAGGAUGUGGCUUAAUUCGAGGCUACGCGAAGAACCUUAUCCUAGUCUUGACAUGCUUUAGAAUCUUUUCGAAAGAAGAGAGUGCUCGCAAGAGAGCUUUAGCACAGGUGCUGCAUGGCUGUCGUCAGCUCGUGUCGUGAGAUGUCGGGUUAAGUCCCUUAACGAGCGAAACCCUUGUCCUUAGUUACUAGCGGGUAAUGCCGAGAACUCUAAGGAUACUGCCGGUGUUAAACCGGAGGAAGGUGGGGAUGACGUCAAGUCCUCAUGGCCUUUAUGAUUAGGGCUGCACACGUCCUACAAUGGAGCAUACAGAGGGAUGCAAAAUCGCGAGAUCUAGCAAACCCCAAAAAGUGCUCCUCAGUUCGGAUUGCAGGCUGCAACUCGCCUGCAUGAAGCUGGAAUCGCUAGUAAUCGCGGGUCAGCAUACCGCGGUGAAUGUGUUCCUGAGCCUU
rnacentral:rRNA from 1 species